UACGUAGGGGGCUAGCGUUGUCCGGAAUCAUUGGGCGUAAAGCGCGUGUAGGCGGUCCGGUAAGUCCGCUGUGAAAGUCGAGGGCUCAACCCUCGAAUGCCGGUGGAUACUGUCGGGCUAGAGUACGGAAGAGGCGAGUGGAAUUCCUGGUGUAGCGGUGAAAUGCGCAGAUAUCAGGAGGAACACCAAUUGCGAAGGCAGCUCGCUGGGACGUUACUGACGCUGAGGCACGAAAGCUGGGGGAGCGAACAGG
rnacentral:rRNA from 1 species